rnacentral:rRNA from 1 species
UAGGGAAUCUUCGGCAAUGGACGGAAGNUCUGGACCGAGCAACGCCGCGUGAGUGAAGAAGGUUUUCGGAUCGUAAAGCUCUGUUGUAAGAGAAGAACGAGUGUGAGAGUGGAAAGUUCACACUGUGACGGUAUCUUACCAGAAAGGGACGGCUAACUACGUGCCAGCAGCCGCGGUAAUACGUAGGUCCCGAGCGUUGUCCGGAUUUAUUGGGCGUAAAGCGAGCGCAGGCGGUUAGAUAAGUCUGAAGUUAAAGGCUGUGGCUUAACCAUAGUACGCUUUGGAAACUGUUUAACUUGAGUGCAAGAGGGGAGAGUGGAAUUCCAUGUGUAGCGGUGAAAUGCGUAGAUAUAUGGAGGAACACCGGUGGCGAAAGCGGCUCUCUGGCUUGUAACUGACGCUGAGGCUCGAAAGCGUGGGGAGCAAACAGGAUUAGAUACCCUGGUAGUCCACGCCGUAAACGAUGAGUGCUAGGUGUUAGACCCUUUCCGGGGUUUAGUGCCGCAGCUAACGCAUUAAGCACUCCGCCUGGGGAGUACGACCGCAAGGUUG